ACUACGGGUGGGCAGCAGUGAGGAAUAUUGGUCAAUGGGCGCGAGCCUGAACCAGCCAAGUAGCGUGAAGGAUGACUGCCCUACGGGUUGUAAACUUCUUUUAUAAAGGAAUAAAGUGAGGCACGUGUGCCUUUUUGUAUGUACUUUAUGAAUAAGGAUCGGCUAAAUCCGUGCCAGCAGCCGCGGUAAUACGUAGAAUCCGAGCGUUAUCCGGAUUUGUUGUGUUUAAAGGUAGCGUAGAUGGGUUGUUAAGUCAGUUGUGAAAGUUUGCGGCUCAACCGUAAAAUUGCAAUUGAUAUUGGCAGUCUUGAGUACAGUUGAGGUAGGCGGAAUUCGUGGUGUAGCGGUGAAAUGCUUAGAUAUCACGAAGAACUCCGAUUGCGAAGGCAGCUUACUAAACUGCCACUGACAUUGAUGCUCGAAAGUGUGGGUAUCAAACAGGAUUAGAUACCCGAGUAGUC
rnacentral:rRNA from 1 species